rnacentral:lncRNA from 1 species
GUACUGAGCGUUACAUGAGAUGUUGUGUGUCUAUCUUUUGGCUCAAUCCUUGGGUCAAGUACUCAUGGGGGAUUCAAGUGAGGAACUGAGUCGAUGCUGUGGCCUAAAGAUUAAGCAUGUCCACCCUGUUAUGAAAGGGAUUUUGCAGCCGGUGGGAUAGACCCAACUGUAGUGGGGAGGACGAGAGCCAGCAUGGCUGGGGAGCCUGGUGGCAGGGAGUAAGUGAGUGUGUGGCUGUCCAUUGGUCACAGAGGGUCUAGAAGGAGAAGGCAAGGCCCGAGCAGGCAUCAGAGUGAUGGCUGGAGGUCAUGUUGAGAAUGAGGCAGUGUACUCUUGGUGGAAAGAGCACACAGGAAGUUACCCUAGAAAGGACUAUGUGGGCCCCUCAUCAGGGGCCUUAUGUCGUUGGAUAAGGUGAGGAGUAUAGGGUCCCGGGCAGGAUGGGACUUGCCUGAGGGAUUUCAGUGGCUCCCGCAGGGUGGGUUGGAUAAGACGAAACUGUGCCGAGAACUGAGCGGGCAUUGCAGACUUUGUUCUCACACACCCAAUCUGAAUAAUAUUGAGCUUUUAUUCCAGAAGCUAAUAGCUUUCCGACUUCCCAUUUUACUUGCAUUGCUGGAAUUUUAUUCUCCACUAGAUUUGGACACCUAGAAACAAUGGCCAAUGGGUAAGUUAUAAUUGGAUGGGCUCGGCAUCAUUUCCCAACAAAGCCUUCCACUUGAAUGCUGUCUCUUUUUCAGUUCUCUUAUUCUGCCCUUCGGAAAUCUCUCUCUGUAGGCAGGGCUUUCCCCAGUUCUGCGUAUGAGGGUGAACUUGCAGAUAACACUUGACUUUCGUGGCAGAGAAAGAAGAUUUUGCCUGUCCCCUCUGCAGGUGCUGAGUGCAUAGGAACCUGGCAGUCAGGCGCAUCCCUGGACACGCCCUCUGCACUCACGUCUUUGCAGAUCCAGAUGGCUAGAAGACAGUUCAAGCAGACGGCUCGCAGGAUUGAGACCUUCUCUGGCUCCAGAUGUGGUGAUCUAACUUCUGCAUUGCAGAUUUUAAAUAUGGCUGUUCUCCAGAUAUGCACGAUUAAAAUUCAAAACACAUGCAAAUACCACGUUAGUCAAGGGAAUGGAGAUUUUUUUCUUUUGAAAGAUAAAAAACGGAUAAAUCACAUACGAAGGUGUGCCGGAGUCCCGCCCCGGCUGAGUCCAGGUUCCUGAGCGAUGGAUGGCGUCGGCGCAAUGACGGGAAAAUAAAGGGGACGUGAGACUUGGGUUGGUGUUAGCA